AUGCACGCUAGCGAUAGGCUUCACACAUGCCAGUCGAGGGGCAGCAUGGUCUUAGCUUGCUAAGACUGAUGGCGACCGGCGCACGGGUGCGUAACGCGUAUGCAACUUGCCUCACAGAGGGGGAUAACCCGUCGAAAGGCGGACUAAUACCGCGUACACUCCAUCUUGGGCAUCCAAGGUAGAGGAAAUGAAAUUCGCUGUGAGAUAGGCAUGCGUCCCAUUAGCUAGUUGGUGAGGUAACGGCUCACCAAGGCGACGAUGGGUAGGGGAACUGAGAGGUUGAACCCCCACACUGGUACUGAGACACGGACCAGACUCCUACGGGAGGCAGCAGUGAGGAAUAUUGGUCAAUGGGCGAGAGCCUGAACCAGCCAAGUCGCGUGAAGGAUGACUGUCUUAUGGAUUGUAAACUUCUUUUAUACGGGAAUAACAAGAGUCACGUGUGACUCCCUGCAUGUACCGUAUGAAUAAGCAUCGGCUAACUCCGUG
rnacentral:rRNA from 1 species